CACUCUUCUGCUCCUCCUCUGUGUUCCUUCUCAGUCUUUCCCUUUUUCCUAUUCUCUUUCUUUUCUAAAAGAAACAAAGGAGAGGGCGCAGAGCGGCACGGAAAUAGGCAGUGUGUGUGUGCGCGGGGUGCGCGCUUGAUGGGUUUGCUUUAGUUCUUGGGCACUGUGACAGCGCGUGUCGUUGCGGUGAGUACGGUCACCGGCUCCUCCCAUGGCUUCGCCGCUAUGGCUCCGCCUCGUCGCCGGAGCACUCUUGCUGCUGGCCUCCCUCCCCGGCGGGGCCCCAGAUCUGGCGUCCGACGCCGCGGCGCUCCUCGCAUUCCGCGCUGCCGUCGGCCGGUACGCGCUGACCACGUGGAACUCCUCCGCUCCCGGGGCGCCCUGCUCCUGGCUGGGGGUCUCGUGCGAGUCCGGCCGAGUCAACGUGCUCCGCCUCCCCGGGGCCGGCCUCAUUGGACAGAUCCCUGCCGCCGUCGGUAACCUCACCGCCUUACGGACCCUCAGCCUCCGCUUUAACGUCCUCUCCGGUCCUCUCCCCUCGGAGCUCGCCGGCCUUGCCGAGCUCCGCAACCUCUACCUCCAGGGAAACCGCCUCUCCGGCGAGAUCCCGGCCUUCCUCUCCUCCUUGAAGAACCUCGUCCGCCUAAAUCUUGCCGGCAACCAGUUCACUGGCGGGAUCCCUCUGGGGCUCAACAACCUCUCUCGGCUUGGUACGCUUUACCUCGAGAACAAUCGGCUCACCGGCGAGAUUCCGGCCCUCGACCUCGCCAACCUGGUCCAGUUCAACGUGUCCUACAACCAGCUCAACGGAUCCAUACCGGCCAAGCUCCGCUCGCAGCCGGCAACGGCGUUCCUGGCCACGGGUCUCUGCGGCGGCCCCCUCGGGCUGUGCCCCGGCGAGAUCGCGCCGUCUCCAUCGCCGGAGGGUUCCGGCUCCGUGAAUCCCACUGGAGGGGCUGAGAGCAACCACAAGAAGAAGAAACUCUCCGGCGGGGCGAUCGCCGGGAUCGCGAUCGGCGCCGCAGCCUUCUUGCUGAUCGCGCUCGUCGUGCUGAUCCUUCUCUGCCGCGGGAGGAAGGCGCAGUCGUCGGCCGUGGGCGGGAAGCAGAUGGAGAUGGGGGCGGCAGCAGAGCAGAGGGACAACGGUCUAGGCGCAGGUGGAGCGAACGUGAACGGUGGGUCGGCGGCUCCAGCGGCGGCCGCGGGCAAGACCGUGGCGACCGCCGCUGCCUCAGCCGGGGCCAAGAAGCUGGUGUUCUUCGGGGGAGGGCCGAGGGCGUUCGACCUGGAGGACCUGCUGCGGGCGUCGGCGGAGGUGCUGGGGAAGGGCACGUUCGGGACGGCGUACAAGGCGGUGCUCGAGACGGGGGUGACGGUGGCGGUGAAGCGGCUCAAGGACGUGAACUUGGAGGAGAGGGAGUUCAAGGAGAAGAUCGAGACCAUCGGCGCAAUGGACCACCCCAACCUGGUGCCCCUCGUGGCCUACUACUUCAACAAGGAUGAGAAGCUCCUGGUCUACGAUUACAUGCCAAUGGGCAGCCUCUCCGCCCUCUUGCACGGUAACAGAGGAUCCGGUCGAACACCUCUCAACUGGGAAACAAGAACGGGCAUCGCUCUCGCAGCUGCGCAGGGUAUCCAGUACAUCCACUCUACGGGCCCUUCCGCCUCACACGGCAACAUCAAGUCCUCCAACAUCCUCCUCACCAAGUCGUACGACGCCCGUGUGUCCGACCACGGCCUUGCCCUUCUCGCGGGCGCAGCGUCCGCCCCUACCCGCGUCGCAGGAUACCGGGCUCCGGAGGUCACCGACCCCCGCAAGGUUUCCCAGAAGGCCGACGUGUACAGCUUCGGCGUCCUCCUCCUCGAGCUGCUCACGGGCAAAGCCCCUGCGCAGGCCCUUCUGAACGAGGAAGGCGUCGACCUCCCCCGUUGGGUGCAGUCGGUCGUGAAGGAGGAAUGGACCGCCGAGGUGUUCGACGUGGAGCUGCUGAGGUACCAGAACGUGGAGGAGGACAUGGUGCAGCUCCUGCAGCUCGCCAUCGACUGCGUGGCGCAGUAUCCGGACAAGCGGCCCUCGAUGCCCGAGGUGGUGGUCCGCAUCGACGAGAUCUCGAGGUCAAGCCCAGCUUCCUCCUACCGGGACCAGCAGAGCACCCCGCGGAGCGUCGGUGACGACCAGUCCUCCAAGCAGAACGACUCGACGGCCGGAUCGAAUCCUCCCGGUGCCGAUCUCUGAGUCACGCCGGGGAGCAACUACGUACUCGGAGGCCGCGUUCGAUCGAUCCCAAGCAUUAUUUCCCGACUUGCAAUGGCUGCUGGUGGAUUGCUGAUGUGAGAGUCUUCCUCUUGCCCGGAAGAGCUGGAGAAGAUUACAUUCGAUGAUGGAAGGGUGGGUGGUUCCAUGCUCUUCCCAUGAGCUCAAUAAUGUAGUAGUUGUUGUGGGGAAUGAGCUGUGUGCCUGUCUUUAUAUAACAUUAAUUCUCUCUGCUUCGCUGUGUUGGUAUCCAACGACGUUUCGCAUGCAUGCAGCGUUGUGGAUGAGCUGUGACGGUGGAGGCAAAAGCCGAGACCGAAGCGUGUGGCAGAAGAUAUGUUGAUUUGUUUGCAUGAUCCGCUGUCUUUGGGACAGACGGUAUGAUGCGGAGUCUCGUGCGGUGUACGCUAUCAAUAAUUGCAGUGGUGGUCGGCUGUGGGACGCCACGUUUUCUU